GAUGAACGCUGGCGGCGUGCCUAAUACAUGCAAGUCGAGCGAACAGACGAUGAGCUUUCUCCUCUGACGUUAGCGGCUGACGGGUGAGUAACACGUGCAUCACCUUCCUAUUUUUCUUGGAUAACUUCGUCAAACCUGUCCUACUACCGCCUCAUAUAUUCUACCGCAUUGUUCAUUAGUUCUUUUCGUUUUUUCUGUCUCUUUUAGCUGUUUCCGCGUCGCCUUAGAUAGUUGGUAAGGUAACGGCUUACCAAGGCAACGAUGCGUAUCCGACCUGAGAGGGUGAUCGGCCACACUGGAACUGAGACACGGUCCAGACGCCUACGGGAGGAAGCAGUAGGGAAUAUUGGGCAAUGGGCGAAAGCCUGACGGAGCAAAGCCGCGGGAGUGAAGAAGGACUUAGGAUCGUAAAACUCUGUUAUUAGGAAAGAAAAAAAGUGGAAGAAAAUAAGGAAGUCAUGACGGUACCUAAAGAGAAAGCAACGGCUAACUACGUG
rnacentral:rRNA from 1 species